AUGUUCUCUCUGGCUGGACUCUUGGGCUUCCUGGUGUUCUGGAUGAAGGGCACCCAUGGACAAGUUUCGGUAACUCAGUCUCCAGCCUUCUUGUCUGUAUUGCCAGGAGAGAGCAUCACCAUCACCUGCAAGACCAGUAGGAGUGUAAUUGAAAGCCAAGGCACCAGCUCCAUACACUGGUACCAACAGAAACCUGGCCAAAUCCCCAGGCUACUCAUUUACCAUGCUUCUAUGGUGGCCUCGGGGGUUCCGGCUCGGUUCAGUGGCACUGGGUCUGGGACAGAUUUCACAUUUGUAAUCAGUAGUGUGAAGGCUGAAGAUGUUGCUGAUUACUACUGUCAGCAGGGCUACAAUACCAUAUAUCUUACUAGGACUUUUAGAGACCAGCAUUGUUCAAGAUAA